rnacentral:rRNA from 1 species
GAUGAACGCUAGCGGCAGGCUUAACACAUGCAAGUCGAGGGGUAUAGUUCUUCGGAAUUAGAGACCGGCGCACGGGUGCGUAACGCGUAUGCAAUCUACCUUUCACAGAGGGAUAGCCCCAGAGAAAUUUGGAUUAAUGCCCCAUAGUGUUAUCGAAUCGCAUGGUUUGAUAACUAAAGUUCCAGCGGUAUAAGAUGAGCAUGCGUCCCAUUAGUUAGUUGGUAAGGUAACGGCUUACCAAGACAAUGAUGGGUAGGGGUCCUGAGAGGGAGAUCCCCCACACUGGUACUGAGACACGGACCAGACUCCUACGGGAGGCAGCAGUGGGGAAUAUUGGACAAUGGGCGAAAGCCUGAUCCAGCCAUGCCGCGUGUGUGAAGAAGGUCUUCGGAUUGUAAAGCACUUUAAGUUGGGAGGAAGGGUUGUAGAUUAAUACUCUGCAAUUUUGACGUUACCGACAGAAUAAGCACCGGCUAACUCUGUGCCAGCAGCCGCGGUAAAG